UACGCACUGUGCGACCGUUAUUCGGAAUCACUGGGCUUACAGGGUGCGUAGGCGGCUUGUUAAGUCGGGUGUGAAAGCCCCCGGCUCAACCGGGGAAUUGCGCCCUAAACUGGCGAGCUGGAGUGAGAUAGGGGUGUGUGGAACUUCCGGUGGAGCGGUGAAAUGUGUUGAUAUCGGAAGGAACGCCGGUGGCGAAAGCGACACACGGGAUCUUGUCUGACGCUGAGGCACGAAAGCCAGGGGAGCGAACGGG
rnacentral:rRNA from 1 species